CGACCGGCGCACGGGUGCGUAACGCGUAUGCAACCUACCUCAUACUGGAGGAUAGCCCCUGGAAACGGGGAUUAAUACUCCAUAGUAUCACGAAUUCGCAUGUUUUUGUGAUUAAAGUUUUUCGGUGUGAGAUGGGCAUGCGUCCCAUUAGCUUGUUGGUGAGGUAACGGCUCACCAAGGCAACGAUGGGUAGGGGGCCUGAGAGGGUGGUCCCCCACACUGGUACUGAGACACGGACCAG
rnacentral:rRNA from 1 species